rnacentral:lncRNA from 1 species
AAAAGUUUUCUGUUUACAUUUUUCAAGUGAGAUGAUCUUUUAUUAUUAAAGACCUAUUCUAUGCCCAGUACUUCACAAUAGUCUAAAAAAGAUGGUCACUGUCUGCAAAGAACUUUUAGCCUAGCUGGUAAUAUUGUACUGACUUACAGGAAACAACUAGAGAAGAGUGGAGUGUAAAGUCUGUCUUACGAACUUGAAGUGCGCAGUAGAACCUCAAAGAAAAUGUGGAUCUAGACAAUGGAAAAGACUUCUUAGAGGAGGUGGAAAAUAAGCUCCUAUCUAUUGAAAAAUAGAUAGGAUUAACUCAAUGAAAUGAAAGAAUUGGAGACUUAGUGCAGAAAACAUGAAGAAAGUCAUGAUCAGGCACUUAUUUUGACAUCACCACUGCCCCCAUCAAAAAAAAAAAAAUCGUAUCUUGUGUACCUAGACCAUGUGGAGAAAGGACUGAGACCAGAAGCAGAAAACAGACAUUGUCCAUACAGAGCAAAGUGCCAGACAACAGCUCGUUCUAGUAAAAGGCAAUAAAGGCCACAUGUGAUGAUCUCCUGAGUUCAAAACUUUACAUCUGACUUACAUGCCAGGUCUGAUGACUUCUACUAUCUUUUCAUGACUUCUAAAUUAUGGAGGUAAGUCAAGAUUUAAUAUUGACUGUAGUCAUGUAACAUUCAUUCUGAACUUGUAUUCCUUUAAUAUAUUUA